rnacentral:rRNA from 1 species
GACGAACGCUGGCGGCGUGCUUAACACAUGCAAGUCGAACGGAAAGGCCCUGCUUUUGUGGGGUGCUCGAGUGGCGAACGGGUGAGUAACAAGUGAGUAACCUGCCCUUGACUUUGGGAUAACUUCAGGAAACUGGGGCUAAUAACGGAUAGGAGCUCCUGCUGCAUGGUGGGGGUUGGAAAGUUUCGGCGGGGGGGGAUGGACUCGCGGCUUAUUAGCUUGUUGGGGGGGUAGUGGCUUACGAAGGCUUUGACGGGUAGCCGGCCUGGGAGGGUGACCGGCCCCAUUGGGACGGAGAUACGGCCCAGACUCCUACGGGAGGCAGCAGUGGGGAAUUUUGCACAAUGGGCGGAAGCCUGAUGCAGCAACGCCGCGUGCGGGAUGACGGCCUUCGGGUUGUAACCCGCUUUCGCCUGUGACGAAGCGUGAGUGACGGUAAUGGGUAAAGAAGCACCGGCUAACUACGUG